UUCUAAAAAGGGAAUUAAGUUUCUGUGCAAAUCUCUAAGGCUAAGAAACUAAGCCACAAGACUUUUGCCUCUCCUUUUUACCCUAAUGCUACACAGGAAUUGUAGUUACAUAAACCUAACACCAGCCUACAAGGUUAUUCCAAUACAGGUAGUCCUUACUUAGCUACUGCCUCAUUUAGUGACCAUUCAAAGAUAUGAUGGUGCUAAAAAACUUAGCAACCAGUCGUCACAUUUAUGACCUUUGCAGUGUGUUUCUGCUUUUAUUUUCACUUGCUUAUUUACCCCAUACCAAUAUGUCCUCAACAAGAAAGAGAAAGAAUCCCAGCUCAGCUGAAGGAAGUAGCAAGAAGCAAAGGAAAACUGAAGUAAAAUUAUGUAGGAUUUGAAAUAAAGAAACCCAGCCAGGAAAAAAAAGUACAACAUGAAAGCAUAUUGACAUCCUUUGUAGAAUAUCUGAUAAGUUGCAUUUCACUGCUGCUAUCUUCAGAGACCUUUUGAUGUUUCGGGAUCUUCAAAAAUAUAUUAUCUGUUCAACCCUCUUCCAAAGGGCUUAUCUCUAAUAGACUUCUGCAGGAGGGUGAAAAUGUUUCGAUUGUAAAGAUCUGUUUUACUGAACAGAUUUAAGCUUUUUAAUCAUUUUGAUUGAUCCUAUAGUGUUAAUUCCUGCACUUCUUGGG